AGAGUUUGAUCAUGGCUCAGGACGAACGCUGGCGGCGUGCUUAACACAUGCAAGUCGAGCGAUGAAAUUCCUUCGGGAAUGGAUUAGCGGCGGACGGGUGAGUAACACGUGGGUAACCUGCCUCAAAGAGGGGAUAGCCUCCCGAAAGGGAGAUUAAUACCGCAUAAUAUUAAUUUUUCACAUGGAAGAUUAAUUAAAGG
rnacentral:rRNA from 1 species